rnacentral:rRNA from 1 species
CCGUUGUACACACCGCCCGUCACACCAUGGAGGUUCGGUUGCACCAGAAGUAGGUAGCUUAACCUUCGGGAGGGCGCUUACCACGGUGUGGCUAAUGACUGGGGUG